rnacentral:rRNA from 1 species
GAUGAACGCUGGCGGCGUGCUUAACACAUGCAAGUCGAACGGAAAGGCUCCUGCUUGCAGGGGUACUCGAUUGCCGAACGGGUGAGUAACACGUGUGUGAUCUGCCCUGCACUUCGGGAUAAGCCUGGGAAACUGGGUCUAAUACCGGAGAGGACGAUGGUUUGGAUGCCAUUGUGGAAAGUUUUUUCGGUUGGGGAUGAGCUCGCGGCCUAUCAGCUUGUUGUUGGGGUAAUGGCCUACCAAGGCGUCGACGGGUAGCCGGCCUGAGAGGGGAUACAGCCACAUUGGGACUGAGAUACGGCCCAGACUCCUACGGGAGGCAGCAGUGGGGAAUAUUGCACAAUGGGAGCAAGCCUGAUGCAGCGACGCCGCGUGGGGGAUGACGGCCUUCGGGUUGUAAACUCCUUUCGCUAGGGACGAAGCGCAAGUGACGGUACCUGGAGAAGAAGCACCGGCUAACUACGUG